rnacentral:rRNA from 1 species
CCUACGGGUGGCAGCAGUGGGGAAUAUUGGGCAAUGGAGGCAACUCUGACCCAGCAACGCCGCGUGAAUGAUGAAGGUCUUCGGAUUGUAAAGUUCUGUGAUGGGGGAUGAACACAAUGACGGUACCCCAAUAGCAAGCCACGGCUAACUACGGGCCAGCAGCCGAGGUAAUACGUAGGUGGCAAGCGUUAUCCGGAAUGACUGGGCGUAAAGGGUGCGUAGGUGGUUUAGUAAGUCGGCGGUGUAAUUCCGGGGCUCAACCUCGGCGCUACCGCCAAAACUAUUAGACUAGAGUGCAGGAGGGGUAAGUGGAAUUCCUAGUGUAGCGGUGAAAUGCGUAGAUAUUAGGAGGAACACUAGUGGCGAAGGCGGCUUACUGGACUAUAACUGACGUUGAGGCUCGAAAGCGUGGGGAGCAAACAGGAUUAGAUACCCCUGUAGUC